rnacentral:sRNA from 2 species
UAUCCCCCAAACUAAGGGGGAUGAGAACCACCGACCGGGGUUCGACAACUGGCGCAGCCAGUUGGACAGACGACGAGCUUGCGAGGAGACUGCCCGAAGGGCGAGCGCAGCGAGUCAAUCCCCCCUCACCGCCA